GCAUUUCUUCACUUUUUGUCACUUUUCUCGGGCUUGGUAUAUCUUUUGCAGAAUCUGAAGGGAAGGCCCACAGCUUCUUCCUGCUUGUAACAGUGGAUGUCUGGGUUUUCACAGGUUUGUUUGUUGUGGGGCACCACUUGUACCCUGGAUUUGCCUUCAUGAAUGCAUCUUUGUACUCCUUGGCCAUGUCAGUGUAUUUCUGCUUCUCUUUUGGAUCUAGA
rnacentral:lncRNA from 1 species